rnacentral:rRNA from 1 species
GACAGAGGGUGCAAACGUUGCUCGGAAUUACUGGGCGUGAAGCGCGUGUAGGCGGAUCGGCAAGUCGGACGUGAAAUCCCCGGGCUCAACCCAGGAACUGCGCUCGAAACUGCCGACCUUGAGUGAUGGAGAGGAUAGUGGAAUUCUCGGUGUAGAGGUGAAAUUCGUAGAUAUCGAGAGGAACACCAGUGGCGAAGGCGGCUAUCUGGACAUCAAUUGACGCUGAGACGCGAAAGCGUGGGGAGCAAACAGG